AACGGUCUAUACCUGCGGUACCUGCGGAGGGAUCAUUACCGAGUUCAUGCCCUCACGGGUAGAUCUCCCACCCUUGUGUAUUCUAUGUUUGUGUUGCUUUGGCAGGCCGUGGGCCUCGCCCACCACCGGCUCUCGGGCUGGUGCGCGCCUGCCAGAGGACUCUUUAAACUCUGUUUGUUAGUGUCGUCUGAGUAUGAUAACAAUCGUUAAAACUUUCAGCAACGGAUCUCUAGAUCGGAA
rnacentral:misc_RNA from 1 species